CCGGCCUGGGGAUUCCAUUCUCCUGUGUGUAUGUGAGGAUUUGGAAAGCAUUUGUCCCCCUAGGGAAGGAGAUGUCAAGCCCCAGCAGACCCUGAUGCCCUGAUGUCAGCUGCUGCUCUCACUGACAGGAGUUUGCAGCGUCACCUUUGCCUGCUGCUACCGGCAAAGCCUCUGGCGUGAGGGGCCGCCUCAGGUGUCAUCACAGGAGAGCUCCUCAGAUGUGAAAAGGAGUGAAGUUCUGACACACCCUAAAUGUACACAAACCUCAAAAACAUGCUACGAGAAAGAAGCCGCCUACAAAGGCCACCUGCUGUAAAGUUCUACUUCAGUGCCACCCAGGCGGAUUCAUCUACAGACGGAAAGCACACUGGGAAACAGGACAAAGCACACAGGCUGCUUUCCCCAGACUGCAGGCAGCUUCUCAGUACUCAGAAGACAAUCUCCUGGCACCGAAAAGUCCGGGGACUGCCUACACACCGACAUAGUCCUUGGACUCACCCACAUUCCUGAGGCCCUUCGGUACCUACA